GAUGAACGCUAGCGGCAGGCUUAACACAUGCAAGUCGAGGGGCAGCACGGGAGUAGCAAUACAACUGGUGGCGACCGGCGCACGGGUGAGUAACGCGUAUGCAACCUACCUAUCAGAGGGGAAUAACCCGGCGAAAGUCGGACUAAUACCGCAUAAAACAGGGGCACCGCAUGGUGAUAUUUGUUAAAGAAAUUCGCUGAUAGAUGGGCAUGCGUUCCAUUAGGUAGUUGGUAGGGUAACGGCCUACCAAGGCGAUGAUCAGUAGCCGGGCUGAGAGGUUGACCGGCCACAUUGGGACUGAGACACGGCCCAGACUCCUACGGGAGGCAGCAGUGGGGAAUAUUGCGCAAUGGGGGGGAACCCUGACGCAGCGACGCCGCGUGAAGGAAGAAGGUCUUCGGAUUGUAAACUUUUGUCUUUUGGUGACGAUAAUGACGGUAGCCAAGGAGGAAGCCACGGCUAACUACGUG
rnacentral:rRNA from 1 species